UACGUAGGGGGCUAGCGUUGUCCGGAAUCAUUGGGCGUAAAGCGCGUGUAGGCGGUCCGGUAAGUCCGCUGUGAAAGUCGGGGGCUCAACCCUCGAAUGCCGGUGGAUACUGUCGGGCUAGAGUGCGGAAGAGGCGAGUGGAAUUCCCGGUGUAGCGGUGAAAUGCGCAGAUAUCGGGAGGAACACCAAUUGCGAAGGCAGCUCGCUGGGACGUCACUGACGCUGAGACGCGAAAGCGUGGGGAGCAAACAGG
rnacentral:rRNA from 1 species